CCUACGGGAGGCAGCAGUGGGGAAUAUUGCGCAAUGGGCGAAAGCCUGACGCAGCGACGCCGCGUGAGGGAUGAAGGUCUUCGGAUCGUAAACCUCUGUCAGCAGGGAAGAACGGUCACUGUGCUAAUCAGCAGUGAAUUGACGGUACCUGCAAAGGAAGCACCGGCUAACUCCGUGCCAGCAGCCGCGGUAAUACGGAGGAUGCGAGCGUUAUCCGGAUUUAUUGGGUUUAAAGGGUGCGCAGGCGGCGAGUUAAGUCAGCGGUAAAAUUUCGGGGCUCAACCCCGACGAGCCGUUGAAACUGGCUUGCUAGAGUGGGCGAGAAGUAUGCGGAAUGCGUGGUGUAGCGGUGAAAUGCAUAGAUAUCACGCAGAACUCCGAUUGCGAAGGCAGCAUACCAGCGCCCAACUGACGCUCAGGCACGAAAGCGUGGGUAUCGAACAGGAUUAGAUACGCGGGUAGUC
rnacentral:rRNA from 1 species